rnacentral:rRNA from 1 species
ACGCUCGACACCUACGGGAGGUAGCAGUGAGGAAUAUUGGUCAAUGGGCGCUAGCCUGAACCAGCCAAGUAGCGUGAAGGAUGAAGGCUCUAUGGGUCGUAAACUUCUUUUAUAUAAGAAUAAAGUGCAGUAUGUAUACUGUUUUGUAUGUAUUAUAUGAAUAAGGAUCGGCUAACUCCGUGCCAGCAGCCGCGGUAAUCUGAGCGGGCUGGCAAGGC